rnacentral:rRNA from 1 species
AUUGGGACUGAGACACGGCCCAAACUCCUACGGGAGGCAGCAGUGGGGAAUAUUGGGCAAUGGGGGGAACCCUGACCCAGCAACGCCGCGUGGAGGAAGAAGGUUUUCGGAUCGUAAACUCCUGUCCUUGGAGACGAGUAGAAGACGGUAUCCAAGGAGGAAGCCCCGGCUAACUACGUGCCAGCAGCCGCGGUAAUACGUAGGGGGCAAGCGUUGUCCGGAAUAAUUGGGCGUAAAGGGCGCGUAGGCGGCUCGGUAAGUCUGGAGUGAAAGUCCUGCUUUUAAGGUGGGAAUUGCUUUGGAUACUGUCGGGCUUGAGUGCAGGAGAGGUUAGUGGAAUUCCCAGUGUAGCGGUGAAAUGCGUAGAGAUUGGGAGGAACACCAGUGGCGAAGGCGACUAACUGGACUGUAACUGACGCUGAGGCGCGAAAGUGUGGGGAGCAAACAGGAUUAGAUACCCUGGUAGUCCACACUGUAAACGAUGAAUGCUAGGUGUAGGGGGUAUCGACCCCUUCUGUGCCGCAGUCAACACAAUAAGCAUUCCGCCUGGGGAGUACGGCCGCAAGGUUGAAACUCAAAGGAAUUGACGGGGGCCCGCACAAGCAGCGGAGCAUGUGGUUUAAUUCGACGCAACGCGAAGAACCUUACCAGGUCUUGACAUCCACUUAAACUUACAGAGAUGUAAGGUGUGCUUGCACAAAGUGAGACAGGUGGUGCAUGGUUGUCGUCAGCUCGUGUCGUGAGAUGUUGGGUUAA